rnacentral:rRNA from 1 species
ACGCUCUUCCGAUCUGGAGAGGUAAGUGGAAUUCCCGGUGUAGCAGUGAAAUGCGUAGAUAUCGGGAGGAACAUCAAUGGCGAAGGCAACUUACUGGACAUUUACUGACGCUCAGACACGAAGGCUAGGGGAGCGAAAGGGAUUAGAUACCCCUGUAGUCCUAGCAGUAAACGGUGCUCGCUUGGUGUGGGAGGGUUCGACCCCUUCUGUGCCGGAGCUAACGCGUUAAGCGAGCCGCCUGGGAAGUACGGUCGCAAGACUAAAACUCAAAGAAAUUGACGGGGACCCGCACAAGCGGUGGAGUAUGUGGCUUAAUUCGAUGCAACGCGAAGAACCUUACCUAGGCUUGACAUGCUUGUCGUACCUUCCCGAAAAGGAAGGGUCACUUCGGGUGGACAAUGCACAGGUGCUGCAUGGCCGUCGUCAGCUCGUGUCGUGAGAUGUUUGGUUAAGUCCAGCAACGAGCGCAACCCCUGUGAAUAGUUGCCAGCGCGUAAAGGCGGGGACUCUAUUCAGACUGCCCAGAUCAACUGGGAGGAAGGUGGGGACGACGUCAGGUCAGUAUGGCCCUUACGCCUAGGGCUGCACACGUACUACAAUGCCCAGCACAAUGAGAACCAAUACCGCGAGGUGGAGGAAAUCUGUAAAACUGGGCCCAGUUCGGAUUGGAGGCUGCAACUCGCCUCCAUGAAGUUGGAAUCGCUAGUAAUGCCGUAUCAGCUACGACGGCGUGAAUACGUUCCCGGGUCUUGUACACACCGCCCGUCACAUCAUGGAAGCCGGUCGCACCCGAAGUAUAUGCGCUAACUUUAUUGAAGCAGUAUCCUAAGGUGAGGCUGGUAACUGGGAUGAAGUCGAGAUCGGAAGAGCGUCGUGUAGG